UAAAGUCACAAACUCUAGGCCCCACCCUUUAUCUCUCUGUCCCCGGCUUCACCCGGCGUUCCUACCCAGGGCCGGGGCGUGGCGAUGAAGGGCGGGCGAGAUCUUAAGCUGGUCCCCGGCGGAGCAGGUGAGACCCGUUCGGAGGGGAUGGAAAGUGACCAAAGGACUUCUGCCUGGAGGGGUUGGCCUUGGUGAGGGAGCCGGGGAAGGUAUGGGACCAGCAAUACGGAGGCCGCUGCCCCGCGUGCGACCUCGGUCAGAGUACUCGUACCUGUCACACUGGGGUGGAUGCCAGCCCUUCGCCCCUGCAGACCGGCCACUGGCUCCAGCCUGGCCCCUGGCUCCAGCCUACACCCCGUGCCGCCCUGGGCGCCUCCAACGCCACCUCCGGAGCGGCGAGUUCGACCAGCUGCGUGACUUUCCCAUCUUUGAAAGCAACUUCGUGCAGGUGACCCGGUUUGGAGAAGUCGCCAACAAGGUCACCAUGGGGGUGGCAGCCUCUAGUCCUGCCCUGGAGCUGCCAGAUCUGCUGCUGCUGGCCGGCCCCGACAAGGAGAAUGGACACCUGCAGCUCCUCGGGCUGUUUCCCUUACAAUUUGUGCAGCUGUUUGUACAUGAUGUAAGCCGCCAGCAGCUCAAGGUCAAGUUCCUAACUGGCCGUGCCUUCUACUUGCAAUUGCGCUCUCCGCCAGAGACCCGCGACUGCGAGUUUGGCCGUUGGGUGCGGCUUCUCUACCGCCUGCGAUUCCACUCGCCCACCUGCGCAGUGCCCUUCACGAACGCGGACGCAGUGUCUGAGGAGGAUGAGGAUGAGGAUGAGGUCGAGGAAGGGCCGUUGCAGCCCCCGGAGGUGAGGGCGGGACCUCGAGCCCAGGGAUGUUGGGCCAGGAAGGAUGGAAAGGGACCAGGGGUUCUAAGGAGAAGGCUAUAGGGUCUGCAACAGACUAGGGACUGUGUGCCCUAAAAGAGAAUACACGGCCCUCUCCAGCCUCUGCUUGGCACCAAGCGGGCUCUAGCAAGCGAAGCCUACUCACUGCGGGGUGGGCUACCCCUGGCUAUACAUAUCCAGUUCCCUGAAAGGGGAGCAGGGAAGACAGUUGUGGAAGAUGUACACUCUUCUUAGUUUCAAGCCACAGAGGCCAGACUCGACCCGCAGGUCUCAGAACUCUGGGGGCUCUGACUCAGACAAGAUCCUUCCAGAUCG